rnacentral:tRNA from 1 species
AAAGUACUAGUAAAACAUUUAUUACACUGCCUUGUCAAGGCAGAAUUGCAAGUUGAACCCUUGCGUAUUUUA